rnacentral:rRNA from 1 species
AGUGAACGCUGGCGGUAGGCCUAACACAUGCAAGUCGAACGGCAGCACAGUAAGAGCUUGCUCUUACGGGUGGCGAGUGGCGGACGGGUGAGGAAUACAUCGGAAUCUACUUUUUCGUGGGGGAUAACGUAGGGAAACUUACGCUAAUACCGCAUACGGCCUACGGGUGAAAGCAGGGGAUCUUCGGACCUUGCGCGAUUGAAUGAGCCGAUGUCGGAUUAGCUAGUUGGCGGGGUAAAGGCCCACCAAGGCGACGAUCCGUAGCUGGUCUGAGAGGAUGAUCAGCCACACUGGAACUGAGACACGGUCCAGACUCCUACGGGAGGCAGCAGUGGGGAAUAUUGGACAAUGGGCGCAAGCCUGAUCCAGCCAUACCGCGUGGGUGAAGAAGGCCUUCGGGUUGUAAAGCCUUUUUGUUGGGAAAGAAAAGCAGCAGGUUAAUACCCCGCUGUUCUGACGGUACCCAAAGAAUAAGCACCGGCUAACUUCGUG